AGAGUUUGAUCCUGGCUCAGGACGAACGCUGGCGGCGUGCUUAACACAUGCAAGUCGAACGGAAAGGCCCUGCUUUUGUGGGGUGCUCGAGUGGCGAACGGGUGAGUAACACGUGAGUAACCUGCCCUUGACUUUGGGAUAACUUCAGGAAACUGGGGCUAAUACCGGAUAGGAGCUCCUGCUGCAUGGUGGGGGGUUGGAAAGUUUCGGCGGUUGGGGAUGGACUCGCGGCUUAUCAGCUUGGUUGGUGGGGUAGUGGCUUACCAAGGCUUUGACGGGUAGCCGGCCUGAGAGGGUGACCGGCCACAUUGGGACUGAGAUACGGCCCCAGACUCCUACGGGAGGCAGCAGUGGGGAAUAUUGCACAAUGGGCGGAAGCCUGAUGCAGCAACGCCGCGUGCGGGAUGACGGCCUUCGGGUUGGAAACCGCCUUCCGCCUGUGACGAAGCGUGAGUGACGGUAAUGGGUAAAGAAGCACCGGCUAACUACGUGCCAGCAGCCGCGGUGAUACGUAAGGUGCGAGCGUUGUCCGGAUUUAAUGGGCGUAAAAGGGCUCGUAAGUGGUUGAUCGCGUCGGAAGUGUAAUCCUUGGGCUUAACCCUGAGCGUGCUUUCGAUACGG
rnacentral:rRNA from 1 species